rnacentral:rRNA from 1 species
GAUGAACGCUUGCUGUGUGGAUAAGGCAUGCAAGUCGAAAGCGAUAUUUAUAUUGCUUGGCGAACGAGGUAGUAACACGUAGGAUAACGCGCCCCAAAGUCAGGGAUAACCUGGAGAAAUCCAGAAUAAUACCUGAUGGACCCUUCUCUGAUUGAGGUAGGGUAAAGAUUUAUCGCUUUGGGAGCGGCCUGCGGGGUAUCAGCUAGUUGGUAGUGUAAUGGACUACCAAGGCUACGACGCCUAGGGGAGGUGAGAGCCUGGCCCCCACCGAUGGGACUGAGACACGGCCCAUACUCCUACGGGAGGCCGCAGUCGAGAAUCUUCCACAAUGGACGAAAGUCUGAUGGAGCGACACAGCGUGGUGGAUGAAGUACAUAAGUAUGUAAACACCUUUUAUGAGUGAAGAAGUUUAUUGACAUUAACUCAUGAAUAAGGAGUAGCUAAUCACG